CACGGGGGGAGCAAGCGUUGUUCGGAAUCACUGGGCUUAAAGCGUGUGUAGGCGGGCCCGUAAGUGUCUUGUGAAAUCCCACGGCUCAACCGUGGAACUGCUGGGCAUACUGCGGGUCUUGGGCCAACUAGGGGCAGCCGGAACAAGCGGUGGAGCGGUGAAAUGCGUAGAUAUCGCUUGGAACGCCGAAGGUGAAAACAGGCUGCUGGGGUUGCGCCGACGCUGAGACACGAAAGCCAGGGGAGCAAACGGG
rnacentral:rRNA from 1 species